ACGGGAGGCAGCAGUGGGGAAUAUUGCACAAUGGGCGAAAGCCUGAUGCAGCGACGCCGCGUGAGGGAUGACGGCCUUCGGGUUGUAAACCUCUUUCAGCAGGGAAGAAGCGAAAGUGACGGUACCUGCAGAAGAAGCGCCGGCUAACUACGUGCCAGCAGCCGCGGUAAUACGUAGGGCGCAAGCGUUGUCCGGAAUUAUUGGGCGUAAAGAGCUCGUAGGCGGCUUGUCGCGUCGGUUGUGAAAGCCCGGGGCUUAACCCCGGGUCUGCAGUCGAUACGGGCAGGCUAGAGUUCGGUAGGGGAGAUCGGAAUUCCUGGUGUAGCGGUGAAAUGCGCAGAUAUCAGGAGGAACACCGGUGGCGAAGGCGGAUCUCUGGGCCGAUACUGACGCUGAGGAGCGAAAGCGUGGGGAGCGAACAGGAUUAGAUACCCUGGUAGUCCACGCCGUAAACGGUGGGCACUAGGUGUGGGCAACAUUCCACGUUGUCCGUGCCGCAGCUAACGCAUUAAGUGCCCCGCCUGGGGAGUACGGCCGCAAGGCUAAAACUCAAAGGAAUUGACGGGGGCCCGCACAAGCGGCGGAGCAUGUGGCUUAAUUCGACGCAACGCGAAGAACCUUACCAAGGCUUGACAUACACCGGAAAGCAUCAGAGAUGGUGCCCCCCUUGUGGUCGGUGUACAGUAGNGCAU
rnacentral:rRNA from 1 species